rnacentral:tRNA from 1 species
GGGAUUGUAGCUCAGUGGCAGAGUGCUUUCCUCACACGUAUGAGGCAGGGUUCGAUUCUCAGCACCA